AUGCUGAUGAGGGUGGAGCUGCCAUUGAGGCACAUUUGGCCUCCGAGGUAUCAAACCCUCCAACCUCCAUUUUCUUUAGGAUGGUCCCGAGCCCAUCUCACCUUGGUCUUCUCUCCUCCAUGGAUUCGAUUGUGUGCAUGGAUGAGGAAAGAGUCAUUGCAAGAGGUGUUGGUGGAGACGGAGGUUGAGUGGACGAUCGACAUACACGACGUCAUCUAUAACUGCCUCUAUGGCUUCCUCGGCCUCCAUGUCAGCCUCCCUGCUUCACUAAAGCAAAAGGGUUUGCAGCGUUGUGUGGUGAUGGCCCUGCCCCUGGCCAAUAUCGAUGCUCAUAGGAGUGAUCUUUGGCUAUGGAGGCGUAGCUUCGGAUGGUCUACAACAGUGUCUGGUUUCUCUGCUGGCUCUAAUUAUGUCACGUCAUGUUGGUUGGCAUACAUUUAUUUCUGUAUUUGGCACUUCUGGUUGGCUGAUGUUGUUAUGUUGUCCACGGGAACACAGUACUUACGUUGGUGUCUAUGA
rnacentral:rRNA from 1 species